rnacentral:rRNA from 1 species
AGCAGUCGCCGCGGUAAUACGGAGGGUGCAAGCGUUGUCCGGAUUUAUUGGGUUUAAAGGGUGCGUAGGCGGCUAUUUAAGUCAGCGGUGAAAGACUCCGGCUCAACCGGAGCAGUGCCAUUGAUACUGGAUAGCUUGAGUGUUGGAGGGGUACAUGGAAUUGAUGGUGUAGCGGUGAAAUGCAUAGAUACCAUCAGGAACACCGAUAGCGAAGGCAUUGUACUGGCCAACAACUGACGCUGAGGCACGAAAGCAUGGGGAGCGAACAGGAUUAGAUACCCGAGUAGUCCCUGUCUCUUAUAC